rnacentral:rRNA from 1 species
UACGGAGGGUGCAAGCGUUAUCCGGAAUUACUGGGUUUAAAGGGUGCGUAGGCGGCUUAGUAAGUCAGGGGUGAAAGGUCACGGCUCAACCGUGGAAUUGCCUUUGAUACUACUGAGCUUGAAUCAGGAUGAGGUUGGCAGAAUGUGGCAUGUAGCGGUGAAAUGCAUAGAUAUGCCAUAGAACACCGAUUGCGAAGGCAGCUGGCUAGACCUUGAUUGACGCUGAGGCACGAAAGCGUGGGGAGCGAACAGG